rnacentral:rRNA from 1 species
UACAGAGGGUGCAAGCGUUAAUCGGAAUCACUGGGCGUAAAGCGCACGUAGGCGGCUUUUUAAGUCAGGGGUGAAAUCCUGGAGCUCAACUCCAGAACUGCCUUUGAUACUGAGAAGCUUGAGUCCGGGAGAGGUGAGUGGAACUGCGAGUGUAGAGGUGAAAUUCGUAGAUAUUCGCAAGAACACCAGUGGCGAAGGCGGCUCACUGGCCCGGUACUGACGCUGAGGUGCGAAAGCGUGGGGAGCAAACGG